CCUACGGGUGGCAGCAGUGAGGAAUAUUGGUCAAUGGACGAGAGUCUGAACCAGCCAAGUAGCGUGAAGGAUGACGGCCCUAUGGGUUGUAAACUGCUUUUAUAAAGGAAUAAAGUGAGGCACGUGUGCCUGUUUGUAUGUACUUUAUGAAUAAGGAUCGGCUAACUCCGUGCCAGCAGCCGCGGUAAUACGGAGGAUCCGAGCGUUAUCCGGAUUUAUUGGGUUUAAAGGGAGCGUAGAUGGGUUGUUAAGUCAGUUGUGAAAGUUUGCGGCUCAACCGUCAACUUGCAAUUGAUACUGGCAUUCUUGCGUACACUUGAGGUCGGCGGAAUUCGUGGUGUAGCGG
rnacentral:rRNA from 1 species